rnacentral:rRNA from 1 species
UACGUAGGGUGCAAGCGUUGUCCCGGGAAUUUAUUUGGGCGUAAAGAGCUCGUAGGCGGUCUGUCGCGUCGGAUGUGAAAACCCAGGGCUCAACCUGGGACCUGCAUUCGAUACGGGCAGACUAGAGUUCGGUAGGGGAGACGUGGAAUUCCUGGUGUAGCGGUGAAAAUGCGCAGAUAUCAGGAGGAACACCAACGGCGAAGGCAGCUCUCUGGGACGUUACUGACGCUGAGACGCGAAAGCGUGGGGAGCAAACAGG